ACAAUGUAGAGUUUGAUCCUGGCUCAGGAUGAACGCUAGCUACAGGCUUAACACAUGCAAGUCGAGGGGCAGCAUGUUGGUUGCUUGCAACCAAUGAUGGCGACCGGCGCACGGGUGAGUAACGCGUAUCCAACCUACCCAAUACUCAGGUAUAACCCGUUGAAAGACGGACUAAUUCCUGAUGGCAUGUAUUUCUCUCAUGAGUUAUACAUUAAAGAAUUUCGGUAUUGGAUGGGGAUGCGUCUGAUUAGUUUGUUGGUGAGGUAACGGCUCACCAAGACUUCGAUCAGUAGGGGUUCUGAGAGGAAGGUCCCCCACAUUGGAACUGAGACACGGUCCAAACUCCUACGGGAGGCAGCAGUGAGGAAUAUUGGUCAAUGGAUGAAAAUCUGAACCAGCCAAGUAGCGUGCAGGAUGACGGCCCUAUGGGUUGUAAACUGCUUUUAUGUGAGAAUAAAGUUAGGUAUGUAUACUUAUUUGCAUGUAUCACAUGAAUAAGGACCGGCUAAUUCCGUGCCAGCAGCCGCGGUAAUACGGAAGGUCCAGGCGUUAUCCGGAUUUAUUGGGUUUAAAGGGUGCGUAGGCCGUUUGAUAAGCGUGCUGUGAAAUAUAGUGGCUCAACCUCUAUCGUGCAGCGCGAACUGUCGAACUUGAGUGCGUAGUAGGUAGGCGGAAUUCGUGGUCUGUCUCUUAUA
rnacentral:rRNA from 1 species